UUACAGCGAACCAUCACUGCGCAACAUCAAGUCUCCAUGACAACCACCCUUUAUCUCAUUUGCAUCUUCUGCUUGCAUUAUCUACUUAUGCCAAAUAUGGUCGCUUUGUUAUUCUCCCCGCCUCUCUCUGUAUCCCCUUUCUGUAACUUCCUCUUUUCGCCCAUUUGCAAAACUACGUGUCAACACACUGUGCAACAUAUAUUGUACAGUAUAUAUCCGCAAUGACAUGUACAAAUGCUUGAAAAGGUGCGAAAAAAGGAACUGAUUGAGACAUUAUAGUUUGCAGACUAAGAGAUAAGUUAGAUGACUUUACAAAUCAGGAAGUGGAGUGUUGAAGAGGCUGUUCGUGAGACUGACUUCAAAAGGAAACGGGGGUUUCAGCUCGACAAUAUGACCUCAUCCCCUUAAAAACACGUAUAUCAUAACAGAGCACCAUUGAUUCCUCUUCUGCGAGGUUGUUGCAGGCCCUUCCUCUUCCACCCAAAAGCCCAUGUCUAUCAAACUAUCAGUGGAAUGUUGAACCAGGCCCCUGGGGCCCACACACGCAGCAACACUCAGCAGCACUCAGCACCUGUUUCCGACUGCCAGCACAGAGAAAGAGACGCGGUCAAUCACACAGGACAGCUCAGUGCAGGAGAAAGAGCAGAGGAGGGUAGGAGACAAACAACAAGCAUUUUAUCAGCAAAAAUACACAAGUGAGUAGCUACAGCUUUAUCUUUCACAGCAGAGUGUGACUGCAUGUAACUUAGCAAUAUUACAUGAAUUAUAUAUAUUAUAAAUAGAAUGUAGUCCUAUAAAAUAAGGUCAGUGCAGUUUCCAUUCUUUGUCUCAUUUCAGUACUUUUCAAAAUUUGCAGUUCUAGCUUCACUCUUAAAGUGCUACUGUUGCUUGUGCACUGCUUGAAGCUACUCUUUCAAUACAGUAAAAAGAGCCGCAAAGCAUUUAAAAGUGAUAUAUGGUGUUCUUUAGCAAGAAUUUCAAAGAUCCUUUAUGGCUUUGUGUGCCAUAAAUGAAAACACCUUCAUAUGUUCAACUUUUUAAGUCUGAAUCUCGAUAAAGUUCACAAUCUAAUUUCAAUUUGAAUAUGGCUCACAUGAAAAGACUUCCAGGCCUGAAUUAUUCAGCUGUAGCAUACUGAAACAUGUAAUUGUACAGCCAGCUAACAGCUAGUAGACUUUAGGAUAACCUGCUAGUAUUAAACAAGUGUGUCUAUCCACCCUCAGGUUCACAAUCAUCAUACUUAUGACAAAAUUUGAAAUACAUCCUAUGACUCUCAAAGUAAUUCUUACAAAAAUAAUCAGAAGAACGUACACAGUAAUAACUGGUACGUGCCCAUGUCCCAGUAACACUUAAUGACACAGAGAGAAAAAAAACAAAACAUGGGCGGUUGAUGUUGUUUAUACGCUAAAAAUAGGUCCUUAAAAUCCAUUGCUAGGUGGUUGCUUUGCAACAUGAUUUAGUCAUAAUAUAUUGAACUUCAACUUUUAUGGCUCUAAACAAAACCUUAAUAUUGUGAAAUUAAGAGGAUAAGAUGCUUUUAUAAGGCAUAAAGGUUUAUAAAAUCAAAAAAGGGUCAUUUUAGGCCGUUACUACAUGGUUGGUAAGCAACAUGUAUAUGAUGAUAUAGAGAUGUUAAAAUAAAAAGCCUCACAAACUGUGAAUGUUUCUGUUGUAUUCAGAUUUCUCACUUCUCUAUCUGACUUCAGUUACCCAGACAGUGUCAGGGAAAGCUCUGAGGAAGGAUCAGAAGCACUGAUCACCACUGGGCCUCCCCUCCUAUGGGCUGAAGGGCUGCUGUGAGUCGGUGGACUGGAAGUCAAUGAAACCAGGCCUAAUUUAGCCUUCGCUCCUCCGCGAGCUGCCAGGAGUAAGAGUGAGACUCCUUCCCUUUUUAGGGCUACCAGGACACUGCCGUCUGCAAGUGGCACUACUGCAUACCUAACUAAACUAAGGAGCUGGAAAGAGUGAGAGAGAGAGAGAGAGAGAGAGAGAAAGAAGCGAAGGGGUGACAGUCAAAAUUUGUUAUACAGAUGUGCCAUUUAAAUGGCUGUCUAGAUCUGAACAUCAUAAAGCAUCACAGACAGAACUGCGUAAAUAUUUUAACAAACCACCUACUUGAAUUACUCCAACUCAAAGUUUAUUUAACAAGCCAGUUUAGACACUUUUACAACUAUCUUAUCUUUACACUGCUUUCAUUAGAUACACGGACAACUUGACUUUGUAACUGACUUUGACACGAUGAUCACAACAGCUUGCAAUAGGAUCACACCAGUAAUUAGGUGAGAAGAGAGAACUAAUCAGCGUCUAUACUUACACUAUCCACUCAGCCGGGUCCAGACACUGUGUCAUGCAAUCUUUAAUAACUCCAGCCUACACAGAAAGUAGAUAACUAGAUGCUGCAGGCCUGGAAGUGUUUUUGUUCCCCCCUAUCGUGAUCUGGCUGAUAUUCAUGUGACAGAGAGAAAAGGGGAAGAUACUUGGCUUCAACUCUGGUGAGACCCAGGAAAACAUUUUCUUUUUCAGUUCAUAAGUAUUUUCCAAUUUGUGUGGACUAAAUAAACCCAUGACUGAAAGAAAUGCAAAUUUGCACUGGCAUUCAAAGCUUUUGCUUUGGAACCGGGGUGUGAGAUACGUCGAAGGCAGUGUUGCAACUAUGUGCACACACGAAAAUGAUAGACACAUCACUACUUAAUAACCAUGACAGCCCAUGUAUUUAAAAUAAAUGGAUUAGACGAGGAUUACUCACUGAGCCCCAACUGCUUUCGCAUCUCUGUGUUUAUAUAACUACACAUGUAUUCUUGAAGACAGUGAUCACAUAAGCCAUGGUAUGGAGCACACAAUAGGAUUAUGUAUGGUGGUGUGCUCAAGUAUCGUCUUCAGUUCCCACCACCUAUAGUGAGCAGACAAACACUUGGCUUCCGUUUCACUGCAUGCAUGUGUAAUAACCUCAACAGAGACCAAUUCAAGCUGACAUAAUCCCAUCAGCCUAUUCAAGGUUCCCGUCUGACCACCCCUACAUAAUGAGGAGAUAAAGGCCCCAUCACUGACUGUUUUUAUGAAGAUAAUUAUGCACGUCUCUUGUGUUAUGGACAACUGUUAAUUGAAUUAAUCUUCCCUCACUGGAGUUGAAUACUAUAAUUUUGAAAGUAAUAUCCAAUCAUUUCUGCUUGUGUCUGACUCUGAGUCGGUCUCCUCACCGGCUAUUAAAGCAGUCGUUGAGACUUGUUUAUCUCAUAUUUCUCACCUCUGCAUGUAAGCAAUUCACUGGACAUCAUUGCAGCUAUUUAAAACUUCCUUUCCUACUAACACUAUCUAUGUGAAGGAUGAAAUGUCACUACCAAACCAAACCAAAUUCUGAUAACAGAAAAAAACAAGCUCUCACACACCAACAUUUCUCCAAUCUUUUUUUGUUCAGUUUUGGUGAGCAAGUUAUAGCCUCAGUUUCCUGUUCUUAGCUGACAGAAGCAGUAAUCGAUGUGGUCUUCUGCUGCUGUAGUCCAUUUUGUGCAUUCAGAGAUGGUCUUCUGCAUACCUUCAUUGCUGAAUAUUUGUGUUACUUCCUAUCAGCUCAAAAGUACUUUCACCCUGACAACGACUGCACACCAAAUAUUUUCUCUUCAUUUCAAGCCCGUCUUAAAAUACCAGUCAGGCAUCUUUAGAACUGAAACUGGCUUUGGCUGCUGUUUCCAUUCCUCUUGUUCAAAAUAGUUCAAAGGUAACUGAUGAAGGAAUAACAUUUGCUCACCUUGUUUUGUACAAAAUUCUGAAUUAAUCCCUAACAGGACACAGAUAACAUCCACACACUAUCUGGGCACAUCUACAAUUAGCCACAAUGAGUUACUCAGUAAGAAUUGCAUCAAUGGGCCGAGGGUAAGAACAGUCACUGACCAGCAAGCAAAGGCUAUAUGAAAAAGAAAUUUUUCUAUACAGUACAAAACCUUUCACUUAGUAACCUAGCAACCAGUGAACUCAACACGGCACCUAUUGCAAUUCUAAAAAGCGCCAGACAUAAUUACGUCUCUCUUCAGCCAAUCACAUGAGGCCCUGAGCCAUAAAUAACAGACUGCUCCCCUACAGAGCACCAGUCUGUGCUGAAAAGUCAACAAACACUUUCUCCAGUAGCAGCUCUGGCGUCCUUACUGGAUUCAUCUCGCUAAGAUGAAGAUAAACAGAAUGGUAAAAGGAAGGUAGAGGCCUAAAAGUUUUCAGAAAGAAAGAGGUAGAGAGAAAGAGAAGAGAGAAAAAGAAAAACAAAUGUAGCCUAUGAUUAGUGAGUCAUAAUGAAGGCUGCUAAAUGGGACUGUGGCUAUGAGCUAUGUCAUUAAAGACCGUGCCAAAUGGCUGGAAAACCUACAGGUCUCUAUUUGAAACACUGGCAUGCUGGAAAAGGAGGACGCUGCUUAAAAGCUUCUUUUAAACAGCUUGGUCGAAGUUGCUGCAACAUUUCACAGGCAUCAUAAUAAUCUCAAAAGCAGAACAUCUCGGCAAGCAGUAAACACGCCACCUUCAAGCCUUGUUACCCCUGCGUGUGUGUUUUUGCCAGACAGUUAGAGCAGCUCUAUGUUAAACAACUUAGUCUCUGAAGCCUUAUAUUUAGACUUUACGACCAAUAUUAAAUUCUGACCAGGGUGAUAUAAGAUGUCAGCUCGAUAGGGCUGCAGUUACCAUCAGAUCGCAUCACGUCACAUCACACGGCUGCAAGAGGUCAUUAGUACAUUUGUUGCUUCUGGGUGAUGAGAGAUAGGAUUGGGAAUGCGCUCUCCCUCGGGACCUUACUAAUGUGUAAUAAAGUAACAGAACACUUGGGGAUCUGAGAAUUUAUCUAACCUAUCAGUGUCAUAUCAUCGUGGUAACUGUGGCGACAGCUCAAAGAGACAAAACAGCUGCACAGAAAUGCAAUGACCGAGCAGUUUCUCUGCCUCUUUUUUUUUUUUUUAAUUUACUGCGAGGCCUUCUGAAACAACCCUUUAAAUGUGUUUAAGCCAAUCAAAUGAAAUACUGCCUCAACACUUUGUGAGGUAUGUAAACAUGAAAGACAGAGGCAUCGGAGAACUUGGCAUGCAUCACAUAAUAAAAGCCGAUGCACCCUACAUUUCUCAUGCCCUCCUUGAUUUAGAGCCUCUUGCACAGGGAAAUGACACUUCAGUGUAAUGUAUCUCCCAAGUAAUGACGCUAUUAAGUUCAUGCAGGUGGACAUCUUGACUUGGAUUAUGGUGGUACUGCCUGCUGACUGUAUGCUUUCUGGCAGUCGUGUUAUCUGUUGCUAUGAUGGUGUUUACUCCCUGGCUACAGUAUUUUUUUUUUCCACUUUAAGGAGGAACAUUUUUGACGAAGGACAAGCACUGCAUACUUGUCAUUUUUCAGAUUUUAUGCCACAAAAAUAGCUAGACACAGAGCACAGAAUACUUCAGUUCAAAGACUGAAGUGUUGUGUUGCUAUACUCUUAAAGAUCUGAUGUUAAACCUCAAAUUAAAUCAUGGGUAAUUUGAUCACCUCUGCCCUUAGAGACAGCGCCCCAGUACCUUUAAAACAGAAUUAGACCUUCAUUAAUCUGUGCAUGCAUACCUGAAGGACAAAUGUAUUCCUUUAGACAUGAGGGAACGGGUGUGAUGCUUCAAGCAGAACAGUCCGACCCACUCUCUCUCUCUCUCCGAGCUCCCAGGACAUUUUCUUGAAGCCUCCCUAUUGGGAUUCUGGUAGCCUACAUUCCCUGCUUCAAGGUCGGCGGUGGUGACAAAUUAAAUUACUUGUCCUGUUUUGUAGUGCUGGCACCAGGUCAACAGCAACUUGGCUAAAAUGAUGAGUGCGGUAUUCUGAAGGGAGCUGCAUUUGUCCUGACCCUCUGGUGUCAAAUUUGCAAAGCAACGAGCAGUGAUGAAAGGGCUGCAAAAGCCACGUAUUAAAUUCUGCUUCUGUAAUCACUUGCAAAGAAAAAAAAAAUCAAUUACCUCUACUUUAUACCGUCGCCCUUUGGGCUUACCCAGAGCCCUCGGUUAGUAAAAGUUGCAUCAUCUCCGUUCACUCCAAUGGACCAUUUUAUUUUAUUUUAUUUUGCAGAAAUAGUUCCUGGAACUAGGUUUUUAGCUGCACAGAAGUUUGUGAAGUUGUUGGGUUUUUUUUAACGUGUGCAUUGAAACAUGUUAAUUGAUUAUCCACCAAUAAAUUUGUAGAUAUGCCAGCUUAAGCUAGCAAACACAAGAACAAGUAGCCUAAUGAAUUCAAAAUUAUGUUUUAUAUAUUAUACCCCCCCCCACACACACAACUAAAUAACUAAAUAUUAUAUUAAAUAUUAAUUAAUAUUACUAUAUUGUGAUAUAACAUAAUGUGGCACGCGACGAUUAGGCCUGGACUCGAACUCAGCAAGAAGUUGGUGGGUUUGAUUCCACCGCCUGGCCGGGGUUUUUCUGUGUGGAGUUUGCGUGGGUUCUCUCCGGCACUCCAGCUUCCUCCCACAGUCCAAAGACAUGCAGAUAAUGGGGUUAGGUCAAUUGGUAAUUUUAAAUUACUGAUAGGUGUGAAUGUCAGUGCGAAAAUAACAUUAUUGCUUAUUGUUGUCUGGUCUGUUUUAACAAAUGUAUUGAUUCAGAGUGAUAAAAUAAUAAUUGUACAAUAAUCAGGGAAACAGCUAGCUAUUUUCUGAAACAUGGCUAAAAAUAAAGAGUAUAUUUGCAUAUUGUAGCAGUCUCAUAAAUACUGUUUUUAGGCUUAUGGUUCUGUUGACUGUCACACUGUGUAUAAUGUUGCAUCUCAGCAGAUGGUAAAAUCAGAAGGAAGGAAAAGGAAACAAAUCAGACCGGAAAAAAAAACAAGCACACGAACCACAGGUCUGAAGACUCCCUGCAGUGAAACAGCACCCUAACCUGGAGAUUCAUCUCCCUGAGUUUUUCCAAGAUUUACACUUAUUAAUUUUUAAUGGCCUACACAUUACCCUUUACAGUGGUCUGGACUUUGUAAGAUAAAAAAAUGUGCAAAUGUGUUCUUGAAUAUGAUUGCAUUUGUGUAUAUGUUGAUGUUUUAAUCCAUAGUUACAGUCAUUGUCAUUGUUCUUUUAAAACUAUUUUUCUCCUCUUGGCGUCAGUGGGAUGAAUGUACACGUAUGCUUUUAUCUCUGAGUGAGUGCAGCGUCCCCAUGCAGCACAGCACACAACAGCAGAUAAAACAUGUUUUAAAUAUAUGAAUAUUUAUUAAUCCCACUAAAGUGUCUUAUAAUAGCAAAAGUCUUAUAAUGCCUGUGAAAAAAAACAUGCUCUAUGAGACAUGAUACACAGUAAUGAGUGUUUUAAUGCAAUCUGCCCUGUGUAGAUGUGAAGUGUUGAGUAGCAUUGUUGUCCACAUGCAAGAUAUAUAAAUUCCUGUCUCUGUCACACAGAAAGUUGGACUAGAUGUUUGUUUUGAAUUUGAAUAUUUUAAGCUCUGGAGACCAAAAUAUUUCCAAAGCAAACACAGUUAUUCUCAUGCUAUCAUUGAAAGUCACCCGUCAGUCUCAUUCUGCCAUUAAGAUUAUUUGCAGUAUGAAUUUAUCGUGGCAUUACUGAAGCCACAAUGAAGAAACCCUGACAGGUAGAAAACAACUGAUUUUGAAAUGUUUACCCAAGUUCACUAAAACCUAACAAUAAAUGUUAAACUGUGGCUGCUGUUGGUUAGCAUAUAAUGUUAAAAACACAUUAACAAGCUCAAGAAUUGUCAGAAAGGUAGAGGAGCACACAAAGACUUAACCACAUGCACUUUACUGUGGUAUAAAAACUACUGCAGAUCAAUGCAUUUGCUGCAUUCUGAACCCUCUCUGCCUCUGUGACUCUUACUAUUAGAGGGCUCUGGGCUUACCCUGCUGCUGAUGGAGGAUAUCAUGUGCUUGCACAUGAAGCUUCACAACAUUAGCCCCAGUUUUGUGUCACAAAAAUUAGAGUGCACACCACCUGCUGGACAUUUGGGAAUGUAUAGUAAAUAUUCUUUUUUUUAAAUGAUUUUUCCUUCUGUAUACAACCAAGAGUUAAAACACAACCCAUGUUGUGACACAGCUGUGUUGCACUCAGUCUUCACUUACACAAUCACCUGAAGGGUGUCAGUGUGUCAGCAGCACAUUGGGCUUAUCUGUCGGGUUGUUAUCGGCACACAAACAGCUCACACACCACACUGGGAGGAACUUAGAUUAUGUAGUGCGGUGUGAAAACAAACAAACAGACAGCUUAAUAUUGAGGCAGAGGUCUGUGUGCAGUUUCAUAUCUGCCAUUGUUGUUGAGUCUUACCUCCAAUAUCACACAUCACGAGGACAUGAUGAAGUAACAUCCUCAUGAUGUGUAAUUUUCAGUUAGAUGCACAGCAGCUGGCAUGUUUCGCAGCACCUGCUUACACUUGAAGUGCGCUGGGUUCAGCUUACAAAAGACUUAUGAGAAAAUCUAAAGCAGCAUUAUUUGCUGUGGUCAGAUAUAUGAGAUACUAGUUUCUACCAAAGAGGUCAGUGUUAUGCAGGUUAUUUUGUAAGCAUGAUGCUAUUGGACUACUGGACACUAGAGAGCAGCAAAGCAGCAUAAAACCCAGGCUAGCCCUCUCAAACAUAUUUUUUCCUUUUAAUUUUGCACAUUUGGUGCAUUUGUACAAUAAAUAUUGUAUCAAUCUUUACAUUUGUAAGCUCAUGGAUACAAGCAGAAGUCAUCUGCGAAUGCACUUCAUAUAUUUUCACUCUUUUAUGAAUGAAGGCAAUUUUCAGAUCUCUGUGAUUUCACUUGCACUACCUCUGCAAGCCAUAAUGAUUUAGAAAGCAUCAGCAAAGGGGCAUAGAUGGCCAUUUUGAUGUUAUAAUAAAUUAUUACUACUAUUGCCACAUAAUCCAGUCCAGGCUUUUGGGGCAGAAAAUAAUUAUUAAAGUUAAGACAUAAAAAAAGUGUAAACCAUAAGUUUAAUAAUUUAUUCCUCAGUCUAUAUGAAUUUGCACCAUGUUGAGAGGUAGACUAAGUUCAUGGGGAACAGGUUCACUGUAUCUUCUUGACAGACAGUUAGACCACAGGCAAGCCUCUCCCAAGCACCAAUUGUUCCUUUACAUUGACAGAGCAGAUGAAUAUUUAACAGGAGGAGGGAAAGUGGUAGGCAUCAGGUCACUAAGAAGAAAAUAGCACUCACCCCAGAUGACCCCACCACCAACAGUCUGAUGACAGACUAGAUUGCUGCUGCUGAUUGGCUGCUUAUAUCUUUGUUGACCCAAAGGAGAGCUGUGUAAUGAGCCUUAAAUGAAAGCAUAUUUGUGGGAAUAGAACGUGUGUCUAUAGGUGGGCUGAGUACCUUCAAGACAGAAGCAGACAGGGUGGAAAAGACUGCGGUCAGCACCAUGGACAGCAAAAGGAGAAUUAUCCAGGUGAUCAGCGCCAUGCAAGCAGAUAUCAGAAAGCUGGAGCUGGAAAACAUGGGCCUGAAGAGGAAAGCUGGAAGUAAUCUCAGAAAGAAUGCAUCAGUUCCCAUCAUGGCAGCAGAAUGCAGAGAAAGUGUCGUCAUGACAGUGAGGCGAUAUUCAGUCUUCCAGCUGCGGGUCAAUCAUCGAUAUUUGACCAUGGGCAUCUCAAAGAGUGAGGGAGGGACCGGAAAGAAGCAACGCUGACACUGAGCAUAGUCAAACCAGAGGCGGAGCCAGACAUUUUAUACACCCAGAGUUUAGCCCUAAAGG